AACGAACGCUGGCGGCAGGCCUAACACAUGCAAGUCGAGCGAGGACUUCGGUCCUAGCGGCGGACGGGUGAGUAACGCGUGGGAACGUGCCCUUUGCUUCGGAAUAGCCCUGGUAAACUGGGGGUAAUACCGGAUGAGCCCUUUGGGGGAAAGAUUUAUCGUCGAAGGAUCGGCGCGCGUUGUAUUAGGUAGUUGGGGGGGUAAUGGCCUACCAAGCCGUUGAUCCAUAGCUGGUUUGAGAGGAUGAGCCGCCACACUGGGACUGAGACACGGCCCAGACUCCUACGGGAGGCAGCAGUGGGGAAUCUUAGACAAUGGGGGAAACCCUGAUCUAGCCAUGCCGCGUGAGCGAUGAAGGUCUUAGGGUUGUAAAGCUCUUUCAGCUGCGAAGAUAAUGACGGUACCAGCAGAAGAAGCCCCGGCUAACUCCGUG
rnacentral:rRNA from 1 species